GCGACUCUCUGGUCUGUAACUGACGCUGAGGCGCGAAAGCGUGGGGAGCGAACAGGAUUAGAUACCCUGGUAGUCCACGCCGUAAACGAUGAGUGCUAAGUGUUAGAGGGUUUCCGCCCUUUAGUGCUGCAGCUAACGCAUUAAGCACUCCGCCUGGGGAGUACGGUCGCAAGACUGAAACUCAAAGGAAUUGACGGGGGCCCGCACAAGCGGUGGAGCAUGUGGUUUAAUUCGAAGCAACGCGAAGAACCUUACCAGGUCUUGACAUCCUCUGACACUUCUAGAGAUAGAAGGUUCCCCUUCGGGGGACAGAGUGACAGGUGGUGCAUGGUUGUCGUCAGCUCGUGUCGUGAGAUGUUGGGUUAAGUCCCGCAACGAGCGCAACCCUUGAUCUUAGUUGCCAGCAUUAAGUUGGGCACUCUAAGGUGACUGCCGGUGACAAACCGGAGGAAGGUGGGGAUGACGUCAAAUCAUCAUGCCCCUUAUGACCUGGGCUACACACGUGCUA
rnacentral:rRNA from 1 species